rnacentral:rRNA from 1 species
GAUGAACGCUAGCGGGAGGCUUAACACAUGCAAGUCGAGGGGCAGCAUGGGGUAGCAAUACCCUGAUGGCGACCGGCAGACGGGUGAGUAACGCGUAUGUAACCUACCCUGUACAGGGGGAUAACCCGGAGAAAUUCGGACUAAUAUCCCAUAGAAAUAUUGAAGGGCAUCUUUUGAUAUUUAAAGUUCCGACGGUACGGGAUGGGCAUGCGUAACAUUAGCUAGUUGGUAAGGUAACGGCUUACCAAGGCUUUGAUGUUUAGGGGUCCUGAGAGGGUGGUCCCCCACACUGGUACUGAGACACGGACCAGACUCCUACGGGAGGCAGCAGUGAGGAAUAUUGGUCAAUGGGCGCAAGCCUGAACCAGCCAUCCCGCGUGCAGGAAGACGGCGCUAUGCGUUGUAAACUGCUUUUCCAGGGGGAGAAACUUGCGCACGUGUUGCGCAAUUGGCGGUACCCUGGGAAUAAGCAUCGGCUAACUCCGUGCCAGCAGCCGCCGUAAGAC